rnacentral:rRNA from 1 species
CAAAAUUACUCGCCAGAGCACUACAAGCAACAGCUUAAAACUCAAAGGACUUGGCGGUGCUUUAUAUCCCUCUAGAGGAGCCUGUUCUAUAAUCGAUAAACCCCGAUAAACCUCACCACUCCUUGCUAAUUCAACCUAUAUACCGCCAUCCUCAGCAAACCUUGUUAAGGCCUGAAAGUAAGCAAAAACACAGACAUAAAAACGUUAGGUCAAGGUGU